rnacentral:rRNA from 1 species
GACGAACGCUGGCGGCGUGCUUAACACAUGCAAGUCGAACGGAAAGGCCCUGCUUUUGUUCGCUGCUCGAGUGGCGAACGGGUGAGUAACACGUGAGUAACCUGCCCGUUACUUGGGGAUAACUUCAGGAAACGGUGGCUAAUACCGGAUAGGAGCUCCUGCUGCAUGGUGUUGGUUGAAAAGGUUCGGCGGUUGGGGAAGUAGUCGCGGCUUAGCAGCUUGUUGGUGGGGUAGUGGCUUACCAAGGCUAUGACGGGUAGCCGGCCUGAGAGGGUGACCGGGCACAUUGGGACUGAGAUAGGGCCCAGAAUGAUACGGGAGGAAGCAGUGGGGAAUAUUGCACAAUGGGCGGAAGCCUGAAGCAGGGACGCCGCGUGCGGGAUGACGGCUUUCGGGUUAUAAACAGCUUUCGAGUGUGACGAAGAGUGAGUGACGGUAAUUGAUAAAGAAGCAACGGCUAACUACGUG